rnacentral:rRNA from 1 species
GCAAGGCUAAAACUCAAAUGAAUUGACGGGGGCCCGCACAAGCGGUGGAGCAUGUGGUUCAAUUCGAUGCAACGCGAAGAACCUUACCUACCCUUGACAUCCAGAGAAUCUGUUAGAGAUAAUUGAGUGCCUUCGGGAACUCUGAGACAGGUGCUGCAUGGCUGUCGUCAGCUCGUGUUGUGAAAUGUUGGGUUAAGUCCCGUAACGAGCGCAACCCUUAUCCUUAGUUGCCAGCACGUAAUGGUGGGAACUCUAGGGAGACUGCCGGUGAUAAACCGGAGGAAGGUGGGGACGACGUCAAGUCAUCAUGGCCCUUAUGGGUAGGGCUACACACGUGCUACAAUGGCCAGUACAGAGGGCUGCAAACUUGCGAGAGUAAGCAAAUCCCAGAAAGCUGGUCUUAGUCCGGAUUGGAGUCUGCAACUCGACUCCAUGAAGUUGGAAUCGCUAGUAAUCGCGAAUCAGAACGUCGCGGUGAAUACGUUCCCGGGCCUUGUACACACCGCCCGUCACACCAUGGGAGUGGGUUGCAAAAGAAGUGGGUAGACUAACCUUCGGGAGGUCGCUCACCACUUUGUGGUUCAUGACUGGGGUGAAGUCGUAACAAGGUA